CCAAUUUCACUCCCCUUUUGAUUUCUCUGAUUCGGACCAACGACCACCACCAUAACCACCAUUGUCCGCCACCUCAACCACCGUUAAACACCGCAACAACGACCCAGAACCGUCCCAAUCACCGUCGGCCACCACCGCACACUCAUAUCGUCUCCCCUGCCUCUCCCUUUUCUCUUCGCUGCACCACCAACACCGACACCACGCCACCACACCACAAACACAUUACCACCUCCUAAACCCAACUCCAUCCUCAAUCUCCGGCGAUACGCCGCCCAGAACCACCGCAAAACCCCACCCCCAAACUCCCCUGUUCUCUCGCCUCCUUCGCACUUCCCCUCCCUUUCUUUCGUCGUCCUACUGCCGCAGACCAGCCACCACCACCUUCGCCUUCACCGGAGAUUUCUGGCGCCACCAAACCUAGCCCCAUCUCCCCUCCUAUUCGUGCUCUGCUCCGCCGUACACCGCCUCCUUUCUCUUCGACUCCCCUGUUCUCCCUCCCCUGUUCGCACACCCCUCCUUUUCUUCCUCUUAUCCGCGAGCCACAGCCACGCGGUCAGAACCGCCCAGCCACGCUGGAGUUUCCCCGUCGCCGACAACCGAGCCCAGCCACCCCAACUCCCUUCCUCCUCCGUGCCUUCCCUGUUUCACGCCCCUCCCCUGUUUCUAUUUCCCUUCCCAGAAAACCGAGAAUCAUGUUUCUAAGUGAAACAUUGAUUCUUAUUCACCUCAAAGUCUCAAACUCGUAUUUGAGUUGGGCUAUUUUACUUUGGGCCUUUGAAAUUGGACUCGGAGCUCAGGACGAACGAACCAGCGAAAAUCCUUAGCCAAAAUCGUGGAAGUGAGGUACUGCUGGGAACGAUGGAAACGAGUAGUGGCGAGGAUUUCACUUUAAUAAUAUUCACCUAGUUACGCUUAACGUUUUAAUAGUUUAAUUAAAGACUCGUAGUAAGUUAUGUACUUUUACCUUGGGAAUACAAAUCAAGUAUUAUGUUAAUUUUGGAGUUUAAAUAGCUUAUGAUUGAUGGUUGCCUUGUAAUUCCCAAGAGGAAGUUACGGCAGGUAAUGUCCCGACCGAAUUAGGUUAAUUCCGCUGCUAAUUAUGCUUUAUUAAAUAAAUUAGAGGUUGGGGUGUUACAGUUUGGUAUUCAGAGCCAAGGUUCUGGACCAUAAGUGCUAGA